AUGCGAGCAUCGUUCUUAACCUUCACAAACGCUUCACUGCUGUUUGCUCAUUUUUAUGUUUGCAGCUGGGUCUGGGUGUGCAUGGGGUCAGUUCCUCAGUGUCUUCUGUGCUGCCUGUUUGCUCCAAGCACCUCAAACCCCAUGCAUUUUGUUGCAGAUGCAGAGAGCAAAGCUGCAGUUUUCCAGCCUCUUGCUGAAUUCUGGAGUGAAUGCUUGGUCACAGACCUGAAAAACUUGAAAUCCAAGCAAGAAAACUGGCUGAGCGUGUUGUUCGUGCCCUCCGUGUCUUCAAAUGGAUUAAUUUGCUAUGAAGAUCAUUUUGGAUGAAAAGGGUCGCGGGUUAUUUACAAGCAUUAUUUCUCUAGCUAACGCUGCUCAAAACUGCAAGCAAAAGGAGUUUAUUGUCCUUCCAUUCAUUUUUGUAUUCAGAGAAGCUCCUGUUUAUCAGAUAUAUUUUUAAAUACAGAAUUCCUUUAGAAGAUAAGAGGACAUAUCAAGCCCUCCCAGGAGAUGAUAAGAUUUCUGGUCUAAUUAAGGAAGGAUUUGGAGCACUGCAGCAUCCUCAGUCGCCUUCAGUGGAAGCUGUGGGCACACAGCCCCUUUGGAAGUUCAGUCUGCACUUCCUUCACAGCAAUGGACCAAAGAAUUUGGGUUUGCAAGGUUUGUUGAAUAUCUGGCAGCACCAGUGUUUGGGGCUCACGUUCCCUCAGGUCUGGACCAAGGUUGGGGUGUGUUGAUGGUGUGAUGCAAAAUAGUGCUUCAAACUCAGGUAGAUGAGGUGAGCUCUGUGGUGCUCCAGAGCUGGAGGAGAAAGGAGAUCCACAGGCAGAAUGAGAACAUAAGCCAUAGCAGGAUUAGCCAGAGGGUACAUGUUAGGACUGAAGUGCAUCUGCAAGCCCCACCGAGUGGGUGAUUUUGUACAGACCUUUACGUAUUCCAGGCUGUGCUAUUUCUCUCUUCACAAGCAGCAUCUGAACAGCAAACUCAGCGGGCAUGUAUGUUUGCCCAAGGCAAACACGGCUCUACUGUCAUCACUGAGAACUACCUGCCUGCUUCACACCCAGCCGCAUCCCCACCAAAUCACUGAGGUUUCUGUUUGAGGCCUUGUGAUGCGCCCAUGGAUUCAUUGUAGGAAAUCAGAAUCCAUCACCGUACGCAAACAGCUUGCGCUUUCUGCUGCUGCUUUGUUAACCAGAUUAAGUUCCCCUGCUACCUUAUUCAUUUCGCACUCAUUAAAGCUAAAUUUAGAAAACUGAAGGCAACUCUGCUGUCCUCUGGGAAAGGUAGGGGGGGAGUCCUUGCUGCAACAAGCUGUGAGAGGCAGAAA
rnacentral:lncRNA from 1 species